rnacentral:rRNA from 1 species
UACAGAGGUCCCGAGCGUUAGGCGGAAUCACUGGGCUUAAAGCGCGUGUAGGCGGCCCUGCAAGUCGGAUGUGAAAUCCCACGGCUCAACCGUGGAAGUGCAUUCGAAACUGCAGGGCUAGAGUCCUGGAGAGGAAGGUGGAAUGCUUGGUGUAGAGGUGAAAUUCGUAGAUAUCAAGCGGAACACCGGUGGCGAAGGCGGCCUUCUGGACAGUGACUGACGCUGAGACGCGAAAGCGUGGGGAGCAAACAGG